ensembl:miRNA
GAGCCGCAGCGUUUGAGGUGAAGUUCUGUGUUACACUCCGGCCGUGGCUACGAGGGGUCAGUGCAUCACAGAACUUUGUCUCGAGAGCUUC